rnacentral:sRNA from 1 species
CUGACAGCCCAGGGGAAGGAGACAGGUUUUACAGGGAUAAAAAAGGGGGAUUAUCCUGAUGCCCUUAUCACCAACUACUAUCUAUGGCCUGCUGUGCAGUUAGCCAACUUCUACCUGGUCCCCCUUCAUUACAGGUUGGCCGUUGUCCAAUGUGUUGCUGUUAUCUGGAACUCCUACCUGUCCUGGAAGGCACAUCGCCUCUAAGCCUGCCUCACUCCGUUUCCACCUUGCAGUGAUGCAGCUUGACCCUGGAACGGUCAGACAACCUCCUCAAAGUGGGCAUACCAGUUUCCACGGGGUUGGGUUGCCGGUCAGAGCUUAAGAGGACUAGCACCCUGCAAUGCCCCUCUUCACUCUAAAAUGUACACUGACUGCUUUAGAGCCCUUGAUAAUAGUCUUAUUCCCACCACAUAUGAGGCACUCCAUAAAUAUCUGUUGAACGUUCAUGACCUUAUCAACUUUACACCCAUAUCUCAGCAAAUGCCACUCAUCCCCACUCUUCAUAGACACAUUUGUUACUCUAACCCUGCCUAGGCUUCUUGUAGCUCCAGCUCUUUAGAGAUUACUAGAACCCUUUAUGUGGUGCCUCAGUAAAUAUGUUAUUAAAUAUGUAAUCCGGAA